ACAACCACUGCGAAACGUCAGGGAUUUUAAAACCACUCUACGGUACGUCACCUUAGACUCUUUUUAUCUUUUAUCUUUUAUCUCUUGUUUUAAAGCAGCUUUUUGCUUUUUAACUAUUGAGAUUGUUUGUUUUUAAUUAUUUAAAAGUUAGAAUUUUUGAUCAUCCUGGGGGGCUUCUGCCCGAGGCCUUGUCUUCCUCCAAAAAACAGUUUUAUAUCGCAAAAAGGACCUCCUCUCCUCCUUUUUUGCUUUUGAGAUGGAGAUUACUUGUUCCUCUCAAAAACUUUUUUGAGAUCUCCUCCCCCUUUUUUAAGAAACUGUGACAGGGGACUAUAUCUGGACCCAUGCUUUUUGGUGCAUUUUUUCUGUGGGUUAAACACUUUUAAUAACAUUCUGGAGACCUCCCGGACAAACUCUAUCUCGCACUGGGACGAGCACACCGGAGCUCCUCUUUUUUGUAUCAGUGUCCCCACCAGGCACCAGGGCACCAGAGGCCAAAGACCAUCUCGCUGGAGCACAGCUGGUAAAACCUCACCGAACAAUCCAGCACCCCAGCUCGGCAAAGGACGGCCAGGAGCAGAUCAACCAGACCACUGUUGGACCUCCAUGAGACCUUCACCGACGCUGCCAGGAGCAGGUUGGGGAGUUCCCUCUCCACCAUCCCGGAAUUAUCCGACGAGGACGAAUUUCCACCACUGCCAGCCUCCAGUGUUGCCGGUGCCCGGACUGGCACGAUUGGACAAGAAGGAGCCCCGACCGCAUUAGCAGGAGGGUCAUCACACAUGAUGAGCGGCGUAAUAAAGGCUAAUGUAGCCCACAACACCGUAUCUGAGACCUCCUCUCAACAACUGCGCCCGGGGACUCCGCCUCCCGGU